UCAUGGAAGAAAUUGGACAGUCUCUUGAGUGAAUGACUGAAAUGGUCCGUCUCAGGUGUGAGAAGUUUAAGUAGCAGAAAGAAGAAAGGUAUUCCAUUACAGCCCAGAAUAUUGCAGAGAUUUUUCACAUUUACUGAACCAUUACUGUAGACUGAGAGACACAGUAUUAAAUAAUGUCAUACUGGAACCCACUCAAGCCUUUUAUAAAAUUGCAGAAUCUGUUGAUCUGUGCCGGGAGGAGUAGACAAAGCUAUGCCUGUAAACAAGUGAUAUAAAAAUAGGGAUAAUAGCAGAUUUUGUGAUGCGCUUUUAGCUCAAAUUAACGUUUCAUUGAAGCUCAAGUUUAUUUAGCCUAAUUAAUGUUUUCUCCGUCAUUUCUGGUUGCUGUCUGUUUCUCUUUUCGUACUGCAAUUUCAGCGUUUUGAAUCUCUCUCAGAACAGAGUUAGUUGAAUUUAACCAGUCCAGCCCUCAACAUAUCAUUGAUGAAAGGGUGCACAAUCCUUUCAAAACCAAUUAAAGAGGCCUUAGCCCGCAGGGGUGGUGAGCGAAGGGCUGACAGGAGACCACAGAGGAACUCAGAGAGUCAGUGCCUUUGUGACAAUGCGGCUUGUGGCAGGGGUCCAAGCACUGAACCUCGUGGCAUCCCCGUGGUGAGAGUAACAGACUGAAAAAUGGGCUUCCAUAAUGUCGGGCUGGAGAAUUUGGAGAGUAGUGUGAAGAAUAUAAGAUGAACGAAGGCCUUGCGGGUGUGGAACAACAUGAGGAGCUAUGGGAUAAAUCUAUAACCUGGCCUCCACCAACAAAGAACAGCAGCCAAUUACUGAUAAAUGUGUUUUCAGUAUAACGCAGUAAACAAGUCUGAAGUGAGCAUCUAAUUGUGCGGGUGGACAGGACCUUCACUGUGCCAUUUAAUUUAAUGAAAAAUAACCAUUACGACCACCAAAUGUUUAGGACAUGUCAUUUUGCUGUAGGUUGAUAACACUCCAGGUUGUUUUUAAAUGUGCUUUACAUGAAACUUACCUGAUUAUUAAUUAAAGAUAAUUGUGAGUGAGUGA